rnacentral:rRNA from 1 species
AGAGUUUGAUUCUGGCUCAGAUUGAACGCUGGCGGCAUGGUUAAAACAUGCAAGUCGAACGCCCCGCAAGGGGAGUGGCGGAAGGGCGAGUAACGCGUAUCUAACGUACCCACGAGUGGGGGAUAGCUUCGGGAAACCGGAGGUAAUACCCCAUGACACCACCGGGAGGCUUCUCUUGGUGGUCAAAGGCUUGCUGCUCGUGGAGCGGGAUGCGUCCUAUCAGGUAGUUGGUGAGGUAAUGGCUCACCAAGCCUAAGACGGGUAGCGGGUGUGAGAGCACGGCCCGCCGCAUCGGAACUGAGACACUGUCCGGACUCCUACGGGAGGCUGCAGUAACGAAUAUUCCGCAAUGCACGCAAGUGUGACGGAGCAAUGCCGCGUGUGGGAUGAAGCAUUUCGGUGUGUAAACCACUGUCAGGGCCUAGGAAAUAUGACCAGGCCCAAAGGAAGAGACGGCUAACUCUGUGCCAGCAGCCGCGGUAAUACAGAGGUCUCAGGCGUUAAUCGGAAUUACUGGGCUUAAAGGGUCCGCAGGCGGACCAGCAAGUACCUUGUGAAAUCUCAGGUCUCAACCCUGAGUCUGCUAGGUAGACUGCUGGUCUUGAGUCAAAAGGGGUCGCUGGAACUCUAGGUGGAGCGGUGAAAUGCGUAGAUAUCUAGAGGAACGCCAAAGGUGAAGACAGGCGACUGGUUUGCAACUGACGCUCAUGGACGAAAGCGUGGGGAUCAAACGGGAUUAGAUACCCCGGUAGUCCACGCCCUAAACAAUGUACACUUGGUUGCGGGAGCUUUGACGCUUUCGUGGCCGGAACUAAAGUGUUAAGUGUACCGCCUGGGGAGUACGGCCGCAAGGCUAAAACUCAAAGAAAUUGACGGGGGCUCACACAAGCGGUGGAGCAUGUGGCUUAAUUCGACGCGCAGAACCUUACCAGGGCUUGACAUGUACGGAUUAGUGGGGUGAAAGCCUCAUGACGCUCGCAAGAGUGGAACGUACACAGGUGCUGCAUGGCUGUCGUCAGCUCGUGCUGUGAAGUGUCGCGUUAAGUCGCUUAACGAGCGAAACCCUUAUCCUUAGUUGCCAGCGGGUCAUGCCGGGAGCUCUAGGGAGACUGCCGGUGUUAAACCGGAGGAAGGUGGGGAUGACGUCAAGUCCUCAUGGCCUUUAUGCCCUGGGUUGCACACGUGCUUCAAUGGCGUAUACAAAGCGACGCAAGCCAGCGAUGGCAAGCAAAUCGCCUAAAGUACGCCCCAGUUCAGAUCGCAGGCUGCAACCCGCCUGCGUAAAGUUGGAAUCGCUAGUAAUCGCGGAUCAGCUACGCCGCGGUGAAUAUGUUCCUGAGCCUUGUACACACCGCCCGUCACGUCAUGGGAGCCGGUAGUACCCGAAGUGGCCACAUUUCAGUGGUCCCUACGGUAAGAUCGGCGACUGGGACGAAGUCGUAACAAGGUAGCCGUAGGGGAACCUGCGGCUG